AGUUGUUGCGGUUAAAAAGCUCGUAGUUGGAUUUCUGUUGAGGAAGUCCGGUCCGCACUUUGUGCGUGAUCUGGUUCUGCCUCGGCAUCCUCGUGGGGAACAUGCUGCGCUUGAUUGCGUGGUGUGGUAUUCACGACUUUUACUUUGAGGAAAUUAGAGUGUUCACGGCAGGCAAUCGCCUUGAAUACAUUAGCAUGGAAUAAUAAUAUAGGACCUUGGUUCUAUUUUGU
rnacentral:rRNA from 1 species